ACGAUACGCGUAAGAACCUUACCUGGCCUUGACAUACUAAAAAGCUUUAAGAGAUUAGAGUGUGCUAGCUUGCUAGAAUUUAGAUACAGGUGCUGCACGGCUGUCGUCAGCUCGUGUCGUGAGAUGUUGGGUUAAGUCCCGCAACGAGCGCAACCUCGUGUUUAGUUGCUAACAGUUCGGCUGAGAACUCUAAACAGACUGCCUACGCAAGUAGGAGGAAGGUGAGGACGACGUCAAGUCAUCAUGGCCCUUACGGCCAGGGCUACACACGUGCUACAAUGGGGUAUACAAAGAGCAGCGAUACGGUGACGUGGAGCAAAUCUAGAAAAUGCCUCUCAGUUCGGAUUGUAGUCUGCAACUCGACUACAUGAAGUUGGAAUCGCUAGUAAUCGUAGAUCAGCAAUGCUACGGUGAAUACGUUCCCGGGUCUU
rnacentral:rRNA from 1 species